GCCUCCUGCUUUAAACAAGUUAGAAACUGUAGCAUUUCUACAACUUUCCUGGAACUCAACUUAGGAGAACCAAACAAGCGAGUUUUGAGACUGGGCUUUUCUUUUUCCUGGAACCUAUCGCAGAUUAAGGCUAGUUAUCAGAGUGGUUUAUAGGCUGAGCGUGGAGCUGCUUGCUGCAGUUUCCUGUUUGAGAGUCUCAAAUCAAGACCUAAGAACAAAAACGCACGACAUAGUUUCUGAAGAACAGCAGGAGCUCUCAGUUGUGGGUGGGACUGUCUCUUCCCUUCUCCGUUGCUUCAAGCAGACAGCCAUUCACAACCCCAAUCUAACAUUACCGAUGCAACAAAAAAGCAGAAAACUUCCAAAAAGCUUUUUCUACUGGGACGCCUCGGCACGGCCAAGCUCACCUGAACUCCAGCAGAAACCUGAUCUGCACAGGGAACCACUGAAAACUUUUCCCCACUUUUAUGGAUUUUGUUGGCUGAGAGCCAUGAACUUCAAACAGCCAGAUGGGUAAGGGUGUUUCCCCUCCUGUAAUGGAAACUUCCAUACCUGUACAUGCAAGAAGCAUGGACUUAAGCCUGCCAACCUGCGGUGACACUCAGUGCAACAGCCACGGCAGCUGUGUGCCCCCUAAGGGAGGCGGCACCAAUCUGGUGUGCGACUGUGACUUGGGCUACCGCGGCGAAUUCUGUGAUGACACUGUAAACGGGGAUCUGAGUUUACCACUGACCAUCAGUGUGGUGGUUGUCAUUGUCGGACUGCUCAUUCUGGCUUUCACUGUUGCCAAGUUGAGACAAAGACAAAAGCAAAAUAGGAAACUUAAAGCAGCUGAUAUUUACUGUUAAGAUCGCUAAACCUCAACUUAAUCUGAGGAGUGUCUCAGUGCUUCAUGGCUGACUUGACAAAGUGAUGCAUCAUCCUGACUGACUGGGUCAGUGUGACACCUGCUCCUGCCUCCAACGUCUUUCUGUUCCUGCUGUUGAACUUUUACACAGAGCCCAAUUUUUUUACAGAGAAUGAAGAUUCAUAAUAGAAUAGAAUAAAGUUGCUGAUUUUUAGAAAGUUGUAAGAGGGACAUUUAUGAAUUGUCUUUCAGCAAGAGUGAAUUAGACAGGCAUCUGUUAAGAAAAUUUAGCGCAGAAAAUGUUCCUUUGGGGUUAAAAAAUACACAGUUAAUUAGGAUUUAUGUAAAAAGAAAAUAUAUAUAUAUGUAUAUUAAAAAUCUACUAAUGUUU